UCUGCCAGCGUGUCACUGGGGAAAUUGGAGCAGGCGCCGGGAGGAGACGUUAUCAAGUAUGGCAGGGCUCUGCGGGGCGCCGGGCUCUGGCCUGYGCUCGGGCAUCGCCGGCUGUGCCGCGUGCCGGAGCCCACCAAGCCGCUGCGGGCGCCGGUGCCGUCUCCCCCUGGGCACAGCGGCCCGCCACGCUGCCCCAUCCUGGRCACCCGUGAGCGAGCACAAAGGGGUGCCCGUGGGUGCCAAGUGCUUCCCAGCACGGGCUGCUCCUCCCCAGGGACAGCCGCGUUGCGCUGGGGGACGAGGAAUAGCUCUCRCCCUGGGAGCGUUUGCCGUUCGGGACGCGGCGUCUCAGCGAAAGGUGGCUGGACUUGGGGUCCCUCCUGGCGCCUCUCUUCCCCCCAUCCCGGGCGCCCCCUGAGCGCCUCUCGCCGUUUCUCUUGCAGAGCGCUGGAGCCCUGUUCCGGAUCCGCGUGGCCGGCGGCUCCGUGGCCUGYAGCUACCUCUCCCCGCAGGACACCCGGCCCCUCUGCCACCCGGCCGUGGACAGGUAAGGGGAGGUUGGUGCUGGCCGGCAUCACCGGGGUGGGAGUUGCCUCCAGGUGGCCGGGCUGCUGGCUGCUCCCCCGCGGCUCUGUUCCCAUGGGGGACGCGGUUCCCACGAGCCCCAAGCUCCGCCACCACGGUCCCCUACCUCUGGGAGCGACCAGGAUCGCACCAGCACCAUGCCGUCGUCGCGCCCGACCGUGUUGCACUAGCCGCCAUCAGGCGCGGGCGUCCCCGGGGGUGGCCGCGAUGGAGAUGCCGGGCCAGGGGGUCUCUCUGGGGGGUGACACAGGCUGGCUUGGGGACCCCCCACAGGUUGCUGCCCGCGGCAGGGGCUCCCUGCCAGCCCCGUCGCCUCUUAGCGUCCCUCUGGUCCCGCGCGGUCCUGGGGCAGCCGGCAGCGUCUCUGGGCGCCGUGUGCCAUCUGCCGGUACAGUGCAACACGGCCCCAUCCCGUUUCGAGGGUUGCAGGGACUGGGGUCUCGGAGCGCACCCCUGCCCCGGUACAGCCGCCUGCGGAGGGGAGGAGGAGGAGGAAGAGGCGAGGCCGAUGUACUGCCUAUGUGCGUCAUGCGGGCGCGGAGGAGGGCUGCCGUCUGGGGAGAACGUGCUGAAACGCGGCCGCUUGCAGGGUGCAGCAGUUYGCAGCACCCAAUAGCUGGUUCGGGCAGAAGCGAAGCCGCCGGCUCGCUCGCCUCUGCCGCGUAG
rnacentral:lncRNA from 1 species